ACCCGGGCUCCACUUCCUCCCGCAACCUUUCUGGGCGGGCGCAAGGCGCUCGGGGUCCGGCCCUGAUAGGCGGGGCCACAUUGAGUGACGGCCCGGCCCCGCCUUCCGGUUUAGGGGACGCGGGGGGGUGCUGCCAACGCGGAAGCGCUUCAAGCCUGCAUUGCUAUUAUGAAGCACAUCAACUUGUCCUUCGCAGCGUGUGGGUUUCUGGGGAUUUACCACUUGGGGGCAGCAUCUGCACUUUGCAAACACGGCAAAAAGCUCCUGAAGGAUGUCCAGGCCUUUGCCGGGGCUUCUGCUGGUUCCUUGGUUGCUUCCGUCCUGGUAACUGCACCAGAAAAAAUAGAGGAGUGUAACGAGUUCACCUACAACUUUGCCGAGGAAAUCCGCAGGCAGUGGUUUGGAGCCGUAACCCCCGGCUAUGAUUUCAUGGGCCGAUUGAGGAGUGGAAUGGAGUCGAUUCUCCCUCCCAACGCGCACGAGCUGGCCCACCACCGCCUCCACGUGUCCAUCACCAGCACCAGGACCAGAGAGAACUACCUGGUCUCCAGCUUUCCCUCCAGAGAGGACCUCAUUCAGGUCCUGUUGGCUAGUAGCUUCGUGCCCAUUUACGCGGGACUGAGACCAGUGGCGUACCGUGGGCAGAAAUGGAUAGACGGCGGCUUCACUGACAGCCUGCCCAUCCUGCCUGGCGGCCGGACAGUGACCAUCUCACCAUUCAGCGGGCGACUGGACAUCUCCCCACAGGACAAAGGGCAGCUGGGUCUCUAUGUCCGCAUCGCCAACCAGCACAUACUGCUUUACGGAGACAUGAUGGACACACAACAUAAUGUCGAAGUGAUGAUUGGAUGACAUAUAAUGUGAUGAUUUGAGACACAUAUGAAGAGAGGAAUGGGCACCAAGGGUCAACUCUACUCAACUCAGACCAAGACUCCAACUCCACUCAGACAAAGACUCAGGAAAGGUGUGGGGGCACUUUCUUGCCUUCAUAGCCUUUCAUCCAUGGUUUCAUGAAGGUCUCCCUACAGCCUCCAUUUUCCAAGGACACACGACCCCUGCGUCCUCCACAACCCUCUUGAGAACACCACCACUGCAGUCCUGGGGGGUGGUCGGCACAUUCCAAUGGGACUGCCCAUUCCACAUUCUGCCCUGUAGACUCCAACCCGGCCAGCAGGCAGAGAGACACACGGAAUAGAGAACGCCAGCUCUGCCCAUCCUUCUCGUAUCAUCACCUUCCCCUGACAUCUCAUCCUCGCCGUCUCACGCUCAGAUCGUCUGUCCCAUGAAGCCCAUGUUGGCCCUGAGCUGACCCUUCAACACUGCAGUCAGCCUUCCAAGAAACUAUGACAAAGCUAAGUGAACAUUAUGGUAUGAAAUAUUUAAAGAUGACAGAUUUGUGUGUAUAAACUCAGUAAAAAGAUAAGAUGCAUUGAAUUAUUAAAGGAGAUUCACUCUGAAACCUUCCCUCGUAUCACACUUUACUUAGAAUUCUCUACAGGCAAAGCAGGUCUGGAAUCAUCAACACUUCUAGAAUCCUUUCUUGUUUCAUGUGACACCCUCUGAUCCUGAUUGAAUAUCUAAAGUCUCUAAGUGAUAGCUGUACAGAAGGGACUUCCUUGUUUACUUGCAUGAAACAUCUCCUUUUAUUCUCAGAUAUUUGCAUCACUUAUGUAACAUCUUAUGGGGAGCCACGUCUCUAAACUCAUCAACAAUACUAAGUAGGCCAGUUACAUUCUGCUAAAAGUGGACGGAUAUGGACUCUCCCAUGAAGAACUAGCAUUUCAGUGUUUGCUAAGAGGUCUAACAUUGACAGGCUCACAGGGAGAAUUGCCCUGAUCAACCUGCUUUCUUUUUCUCAGUGUCCCUGGUGAAAAAAAGAAAAUGGAUUUUUCAGACUGCCACGGACCCUUCCUUUUACACGUGUGUAAAGAGGGUGGCAUUUAUUUUAGGCACUACUUUAUUUAUUUUUAAAUUUGCAAACAUCAAAAAAUGGAGAACGAGCCAAGACUUGAGUAUUCAGAUAAUUCUAAGAACUGGGUUGAGCUCAUGCCAGUAUUUGAAGGCAAGCCCAAGAAGGUAAUAGGAGAAGUUUCCUGUGGACAUUGUAGUAAGGAAUGGGCAUUUGUUCAGUUCAAAAAGUGGGAAAUGCAAAUCAAAACAACCAUGAGCUACCACCUCUCACCAGUCAGA